rnacentral:ncRNA from 1 species
UCUUAUUCCGAGCUGGUGGAGGGGACAGGCCCUAUGAAACCCGGCAACCUGCUGCAACUGCAGUGAUGGUGCCAAACCUGAAACAAGGCUUACAGGCCUUGGAUGAUAAGA